UUUGAAAUCUGGCGUCCUCAGGGCGUCCGAGUUGUAAUCUAUAGAGGCGUUUUCCGUGCCGGACCGUGUCCAAGUUCCUUGGAACAGGAUAUCAAAGAGGGUGACAAUCCCGUACUUGACACGACGACCGGUGCUCUGUGAUACGUCUUCUACGAGUCGAGUUGUUUGGGAAUGCAGCUCAAAAUGGGUGGUGAGUUCCAUCUAAAGCUAAAUAUUGGCGAGAGACCGAUAGCGAACAAGUACCGUGAGGGAAAGAUGAAAAGCACUUUGGAAAGAGAGUUAAACAGUACGUGAAAUUGUUGAAAGGGAAACGAUUGAAGUCAGUCGUGACCGAGAGGCUCAGCCGGUUCUGCCGGUGUAUUCCCCUCGGUCGGGUCAACAUCAGUUUUGUCCGGUGGAUAAGGGCGGUAGGAAGGUGGCACCCUCGGGUGUGUUAUAGCCUGCCGUCGCAUACAUCGGGUGAGACUGAGGAACGCAGCUCGCCUUUAUGGCCGGGGUUCGCCCACGUCCGAGCUUAGGAUGUUGACAUAAUGGCUUUAAACGACCCGUC
rnacentral:rRNA from 1 species